CCCGACUCUCCUCACUGCAUUUAUUAAAGAGGCUGAAAGACACAUCUGCUUCUCAACAAUUUGUGGAUCUGAAGGGAACAGGGAAAGCUGGAGCUCCUGACGAUUCAGGAACAAAGUUGGUCUUCUCAAAACUUGGGUGCAAGCAAGUUUGGCGAGGUUACACUCAGGUAUUUUUUAAAUCAUUUUCGCUGAGGAAAAACAGGCUCAAGAUUUGGAGUGAGGCUAGGGUCAGAGGUGGAGACAAACUUGUCGCCAGUCCUCUCAUGGGCUGCCUAGAAUCCAGGAGGCACUCAAUUCAUGUUUACACAAACGAACGAAUCUCAGUAACGCUGCAUGGCAUCUUAUAAGACGGAAAGGUGAUUUUCCUGGGUUGGAAAGGAACAGAAGAGAGAGCUGCCUACCUAGGGCUUAAGGGGCCUCAGGCUGGCACCCGAAGCCAGGCGUUCUCAUUUCCCUUUGGCACCAUCCUGAACUGCCAGAAGCUGGCGCGAUGCUAAAGGAGGGAGGAAACGCAUGUGAGGAAAAUCAGAGAGGAGAGGCUCGGGAACAGAUGCCUGCGACAAGGACCCCCAGUGUGGUGGAGGCAUGUGCUGCGCUGUUAGUAUCUGGGUUAAGAGCAUAAGGAUUUGCACACCUAUGGGCAAAGUGGGAGACAGCUGCCAUCCGCUGACUCGUAAAGUUCCAUUUUUUGGGCGGAGAAUGCAUCACACGUGUCCAUGUAUGCCGGGCUUAGCUUGUUUACGGACUUCGUUUAAUCGAUUUAUUUGUUUAGCCCGAAAGUAAUCACUUUGGAGUAGAAACUUGAAAUGUGAACAGCCGCACGAUGUCUGUAAAGUCUAUUUACUUGUGAUUGUGCCAAACAAGUAAGAUGCCAGAAAGAAAUGCUGUUGCUUCCUCAACUUUCCAAGUAACAGUUCUAGCUUUGAUUUUUAAAUGAUGGUUUUUUUAAAUUGAAAGAGGAUUUUAAUUUUGGACAGAAAUGUAAAGUGCAAGGCAUUAUGGAACCAGUUCUCGUUUCCCUGUUUGUGUUUUGGUUUGGUUUUGCUUUUUUUUUUUUUAAUGCCAAUAACUCACCCAUUUUCACAAAAAUGAGGAGAACAAGAAUUUGAUAUUUUGUUACAGAAACUUAUUUUUCCUUAAACCCCUGUCCCCAAGCCCUGGCCCCAGAUACACACACACACACACACAGCCCUUUGAGUCUCGUCUCUCACUCGUCAAGGAAUUUUAAGUCUGUCACUUUAUUCUUUGCCAUUUCCCUCUCUGACCUUCUAGCAUUUUAAAGUGUGCGCGUGGGGUCCAUGUCCUUUAACUUGCUGGCAGAAUCACUGACAAGAAUCAAGCUUUUUGCUUGAUACUUAAACAGUGGAAAGAGUCUAGUGGAACCAGCUGCUCCAGACUUCUCUUCUGUGGGGUGGAGGUUGGGGUGCUUCUGAAUUUCCACUGAACUUGCCUCUGAGAUGGACUUCAGGUCUGCUGUUUGACUGGGGGGAGGACAGGAGGCAUGGAAAGUCAAAUUAGUCCAGAUUUGUAGAUUUGGGGUUUUUUUUUUUUGAAGGCUUUUCUAAUACAAGAUUACUUUUAUUUCUCUUUCUCUUUAUAAAACUUUUUUUAAAGUCUCAUAGUUAGAGAUGUUCCAGAAAAUGUCACUUGAAGAGGAAGUAUUGAUUUUAAUCUGGCAUAACACUAGUUACCAUUUUUAAAUCGGUAUUACGUUGUAAUUUAAACUUUAUCUGUAACCAAAAGGUCUGUUGUAAUGGAUUGCCUGACAUCCUGCCAUUUGUACCUGUAUCAAUAUUGUGUAAAAAUUCUGUAUCAGAAUAAUGACAGUAUUGUAUAUCAUUUGAUUUAUUUUAAUAUUAUAUCCUUAUUUUUGUCACAGUUGUCGUCAGUUUUUAUUACAAGGAAACUCCUCUAUAGCUCACAUUCUAAAGUGGGUAAAGACUCCAAAGUUGGUAAAAUAGCACUAACGGCAUGUGCAUUUUCAUUUUACAUACAGGAAAGUUCUGUUUGCAUGAAUUUUAAGGUAGUACAAAAAAUAAACAGUGUGUAAAUCAGUGAGGUUUUGGAGCACAACGGAAAAUUAUGACAUGCAAAACUGACUGUAAUCAGGAAUGGACUCAUGGGAUUUCACUGUGUUGAUCUGGCCAAUAGUGCCGGAGUGUUUGUCAUGGUUAGGCAGGUGCUAGCCAAAAGGCGAUGCCCGUGUAGCCUGGCCUUGAAAAACCCACGGAGUAUUGUAAAUGAUUGAACGUCGCAAAUAAACAACUUAUGAAAUGCGUUCAACUGACUAAACUUGACCAUGCCAACCCACUAACUGUUUCCAAAAAAAAAAAAAACUGUCCAUUUGUAGUUCUUUACUCAGCCAGGGCUUACAAUUGUACAUUGUGUGUAACUUUACCCUUGGGGUUAACACGUCCCAUGAAUGUAUGGGAUUUUGCUGUGCUAAUUGCCAUACUUCAUCAUAGAAGUAUUAUUUUUGGUUCAGUUAGUUUGUUUUCAAGAAGCUUUCCUCAGCCCAAUGGUGUAGUGGUUGGGUUUGCGUUCUCCACUUCAGCAGACUGGGGUUCCCGGAUUUGGAUCCCGGGCAUGGACCUACACACUGCUCAUCGGCCAUGCUGUGGCAGAAACCCACAUACAAACUGGAGGAAGAUUGGCACAGAUGUUAGCUCAACGGCAGUCUUUCUCAAGCAAAAAGAGGAAGAUUUGCAACAAAGGUUAGCUCAAGCCCAAUCUUCCUCACCAAAAAAAAGAAAGAAACAUUCCUCAGUGAAUUUGUUGAAAAAAAAUUCAAGUGGAAUUGUGGGAAAAGAAACAGGCACUUCCAUAAUUUUGCUCAAUGUUGUUUUUAUAUAGUGUUUGAUACAUCCUUUUUCAUAAGUGGUGAAAACUUAAUAGGGUCAAUCAUCGAUUUUCACCCAAGUUAGAAAACAUAUAGCUAAUUUUUAUAAAAUUUUACUUUUACGGAUACCAA
rnacentral:lncRNA from 1 species